UGAGUAACGCGUGAGCAACCUGCCUAGUUAAAGAGGGAUAACACAUGGAAACGUGUGCUAAUACCGCAUGAAGCAACGAGGACGCAUUGUUUUGUUGUUAAAGGGCUACCGAUAACAGAUGGGCUCGCGUUGGAUUAGGUAGUUGGUAGGGUAACGGCCUACCAAGCCGACGAUCCAUAGCCGAACUGAGAGGUUGAACGGCCACAUUGGAACUGAGAAACGGUCCAGACUCCUACGGGAGGCAGCAGUGGGGAAUAUUGGGCAAUGGGCGAAAGCCUGACCCAGCGACGUCGCGUGAGGGAAGAAGGUCUUCGGAUUGUAAACCUCUUUCAGCAGGGAAGAAGAAAGUGACGGUACCUGCAGAAGAAGUCACGGCUAACUACGUG
rnacentral:rRNA from 1 species